CCUACGGGGGGCAGCAGUGGGGGAUAUUGCACAAUGGGCGAAAGCCUGAUGCAGCAACGCCGCGUGAGGGAAGACGGUUUUCGGAUUGUAAACCUCUGUUCUAAGUGACGAACAAAUGACGGUAGCUUAGGAGAAAGCCCCGGCUAACUACGUGCCAGCAGCCGCGGUAAUACGUAGGGGGCAAGCGUUGUCCGGAAUUACUGGGUGUAAAGGGAGCGCAGGCGGAGAAGCAAGUCAGUGGUGAAAACGAUGGGCUUAACUCAUCGACUGCCAUUGAAACUGUUUCCCUUGAGUGAAGUAGAGGCAGGCGGAAUUCCGAGUGUAGCGGUGAAAUGCGUAGAUAUUCGGAGGAACACCAGUGGCGAAGGCGGCCUGCUGGGCUUUAACUGACGCUGAGGCUCGAAAGUGUGGGGAGCAAACAGGA
rnacentral:rRNA from 1 species